GACGAACGCUGGCGGCGUGCUUAACACAUGCAAGUCGAACGGAAAGGCCCUGCUUUUGUGGGGUGCUCGAGUGGCGAACGGGUGAGUAACACGUGAGUAACCUGCCCUUGACUUUGGGAUAACUUCAGGAAACUGGGGCUAAUACCGGAUAGGAGCUCCUGCUGCAUGGUGGGGGUUGGAAAGUUUCGGCGGUUGGGGAUGGACUCGCGGCUCAUCAGCUUGUUGGUGGGGUAGUGGCUUACCAAGGCUUUGACGGGUAGCCGGCCUGAGAGGGUGACCGGCCACAUUGGGACUGAGAUACGGCCCAGACUCCUACGGGAGGCAGCAGUGGGGAAUAUUGCACAAUGGGCGGAAGCCGGAUGCAGCAACGCCGCGUGCGGGAUGACGGCCUUCGGGUUGUAAACCGCUUUCGCCUGUGACGAAGCGUGAGUGACGGUAAUGGGUAAAGAAGCACCGGCUAACUACGUG
rnacentral:rRNA from 1 species